rnacentral:rRNA from 1 species
GACGAACGCUGGCGGCGUGCUUAACACAUGCAAGUCGAACGGAAAGGCCUCUUUCGGGGGGUACUCGAGUGGCGAACGGGUGAGUAACACGUGAGUAACCUGCCCUUGACUUUGGGAUAACUUCAGGAAACUGGGGCUAAUACCGGAUAGGAGCUCCUGCUGCAUGGUGGGGGUUGGAAAGUUUCGGCGGUUGGGGAUGGACUCGCGGCUUAUCAGCUUGUUGGUGGGGUAGUGGCUUACCAAGGCUUUGACGGGUAGCCGGCCUGAGAGGGUGACCGGCCACAUUGGGACUGAGAUACGGCCCAGACUCCUACGGGAGGCAGCAGUGGGGAAUAUUGCACAAUGGGCGGAAGCCUGAUGCAGCAACGCCGCGUGCGGGAUGACGGCCUUCGGGUUGUAAACCGCUUUCGCCUGUGACGAAGCGUGAGUGACGGUAAUGGGUAAAGAAGCACCGGCUAACUACGU